rnacentral:rRNA from 1 species
AGUCAGAUGUGAAAGCCCGGGGCUUAACCUCGGAAUUGCAUUUGAAACUGGCAGGCUAGAGUCUUGUAGAGGGGGGUAGAAUUUCAGGUGUAGCGGUGAAAUGCGUAGAGAUCUGAAGGAAUACCAGUGGCGAAGGCGGCCCCCUGGACAAAGACUGACGCUCAGAUGCGAAAGCGUGGGGAGCAAACAGGAUUAGAUACCCUGGUAGUCCACGCCGUAAACGAU